UGUCUUAUAUAUGUGGCUGCACCCUGCCACGGUCACAGAGAUUCCAGGAGCAGCAGGAACAGAACUACCCAUCAUGUGGAACCCAAACCAAGGCAGUGGACUGCCCCCAUAUAUACCACCACCGUAUGUUCAGCAGCCGCCAUAUGUUCAGAACCCACCAGGAUAUAUGCCAGUAUAUAAUCAGGUGGUAGGUGUGCCCUUAGGUCCAGGCUAUGUUGUCCCACCAGGGAGCUAUCCCAUUGGUACCAACCCCUACCCUCCAGGAGUUGUGAUUGAAUGCACAUGUGUAGACCGUAGCCGAUGUGAAUGUUAUAGACGUCAUGGCCACCACCACCACCAUGAACGCUUCUGACACCAUAGAUGGAACUGAAGUACAUUGUUGGCCAUGUAAAUCUAUGGGAGAGGAUCCAUCUGCUGAGUCUGACUAAUCAUCACCAUGGCGACUGUUCCACAACCUGUUCUUCUGGCUCCGUUGUACACAAUGUCUUUGCCUCACCCCACAGCAAAAAUAUCUAUGUCCCCUUGCAUGUCUAAUUUUCCAUGGAAGACAGUGUCUGUGAUCCAUUGAUAUAAAGAUAAUAAACAACUGUCUAAAUAUAAAAA